rnacentral:SRP_RNA from 1 species
GCCGGGCGUGGUGGUGCGCGCCUGUAAUCCCAGCUACUUGGGAGGCUGAGGCAGGAGAAUUGCUUGAACCUGGGAGGCGGAGGCUGCAGUGAGCCCAGAUUGUGCCACUGCACUCCAGCCUGGGCAACAGAGCAAGACUCUGUCUCAA